rnacentral:rRNA from 1 species
AUUGAACGCUGGCGGCAUGCCUUACACAUGCAAGUCGAACGGCAGCACGGGUGCUUGCACCUGGUGGCGAGUGGCGAACGGGUGAGUAAUACAUCGGAACAUGUCCUGUAGUGGGGGAUAGCCCGGCGAAAGCCGGAUUAAUACCGCAUACGAUCUACGGAUGACAGCGGGGGACCUUCAGGCCUCGCGCUAUAGGGUUGGCCGAUGGCUGAUUAGCUAGUUGGUGGGGUAAAGGCCUACCAAGGCGACGAUCAGGAGCUGGUCUGAGAGGAAGACCAGCCACACUGGGAGUGGAACACGGCCCAGACUCCUACGGGAGGCAGCAGUGGGGAAUUUUGGACAAUGGGCGAAAGCCUGAUCCAGCAAUGCCGCGUGUGUGACGAAGGCCUUCGGGUUGUAAAGCACUUUUGUCCGGAAAGAAAUCCUUGGCCCUAAUACGGUCGGGGGAUGACGGUACCGGAAGAAUAAGCACCGGCUAACUACGUG